CGGACGGGGGAUCGGGGCGCGGGGCCUGCCUCUCCCCGGGACCCGGGCUGAGCUGGCCGCGCCUCGUCUCUUGCUCUCUCUCUCUCUCUCUCUGGCCUCUCCCCGAGCUCGGCGCCUUUCUCUGAGCGAGGGUGAGCCGGCGCCUGCAUCACCGUGACAUCACCUCCAUUCAGGCGCUUAUCGGGCGCCCGCAGCGCUCCAGUUACACAGGUCAGCGCUCUUCAGUGUGGAAAGCAACUACACAGGGAAGCCCCUCGGGGCCAUCUUGGUGGCUGGUGGUCACAAGGAGGAACAUACAGCACUUGGGAGGGCUGUUAUCUGUCCCCUUCCACCACAUGAGGACACAGCCAGAAAGCAACUGCUAUGAAGCAGGAGGAGGACAUGACCAUGCUGGUGCCUUGAUCUUGGCCUUCCCAGCCUUCAGAACUGCUGGAAUCCAGGCGUUGUGCUGAAUUCCCUCCUCUGACCACCAAGCCAUGGGUUCUGUCCACCCAGAAGAAAGAACACCUUUGCCUUCACAUACAGUAUAUAGCCGCUCUGCCUCCUUUACGAUACUGUCUUUUCCUAAUUGGUCUUUCUAGAGGGGGUACCCCACCUUUUUCCCCUACAAAGCUACCUUCCAUUUGCCCAAGAUCUUGCUUGAAGGAGACCCCCGUUUUGAGGGGGAGGGUUAAUUAGGUUUGUUUGUUUGAUUAUUAUUUUUUAAUGGAGAUAGUGGGGAUUGAACCCAGGACAACGUGCAUGCUAAGCACGUGCUCUACCACUGAGCUAUACCCCCCCAGGACCCCACCACCACAUUUAAUAUUUGCUAAAAGUCACUUUAGGCUGUAAAACUGUAGAAUGUGCACGAAGUCACAGAGAUAGCCCUGCAGUAAGUCAGCUUCAACCCUGCAGAUGAGGAUUAAGGUUCUUAGAGAGUGGCAGUGGGGCAGAUGGAGCGUACCUGGUUCCCUGAAGGGAAG